AAUGUUAAUUCCAAAGAAAAUUUAGAAAUAAAUAAUGUUAUAUACUUCAUAAAAAAGGAGAAAUAAUUUAUUUGCAAUUCACCUCGUAUCCAUCUCUCCCUUUCGCAACGAAUCGUACGGGUCCAAUCCCUGGUAAUAGGGAUUCAUUUCCCUUACCUAAAAGGGACCGACAAGCUGACCGUUUCAAUUGUACGGGUAAAAUCGACCUUGGUCGUUGACCCAGAAACAACGGAGUGUAUUGGUCGGAUCGACUAGAGGCUCUGCGGCUAAGUGCCAAAGAACCUCAAGUGACGUCUGGUUGCGCCCUUCCUCGAGCUUAUAGAGCUCUGGACGUAACAAAUGAAUAAAUCACUUUUAUAAGUUACAUUCAUGAUACAUACGUGAAAUCAAACUGUUGGCCAUUUUUAAUACAUCAUUUCGCGCAUGCGUUUCGUAUACUGUAAAGUGAAGGAUGGACGAUGAAUGGACAUGUUCUCACUCUUUCUCUCUACAGGGAAAGGCCUAUCCAGGUAUAUAAGAUCUAUGAUCUAGACCUUUGUAGGUUAUGGUUAUAGAUCGAGUGAAAGAACAAGGGAUUGACAGUCAGCGAGAGAGUGAUCGAGUACAGGAGUGAAUUAUUUAAAUGAGUAAGAGAGAAUAAGUAUGUGAUGUGCGUACGUGAUGUAUGUGUGUAUGAGAGAGAGAGAAAGCGAAAUAAGUGAAGUGAAUAAUUGAAUGAUAACAAUAUUAUACAAUUCGCAGCGAGGUUAAGUUACAGACAAUAGCCACAUUCUAGUUUGCGAUAACGCUGAUUCCGAUUUCUGAAACGACAUACGUGUCUAGUAAACUAGAUGUGCAAGGAGUAGUGUAAAAAUAUGUUUUUCGUACAAACUUCUUUCCUAUUAUCACAAAAUCAUUCAACUGCACAUGUUGUACUAUUUGUUGAACAAUUAUAACACUACCAUCUUCUAAACCGCAACAAUUAUUAUCACCAUUUCGCAAAAUUGUAGAGUCAAUUAUAAUACAGUUGCAUAAUGAUGCAACUCUACUGGGAAUAAAAAAGUGUAUUAUAGACUGGCUAAGACAUGCCAAAGAAAGAUACAUAAGACAUUCGAACAAUGACAAUGAGGAAGCAGCAAGACCAUAAACAAUAUUACUUUUAUUACUUUUCGUAUUAUUUCGUAUUUUAUUACUUUUUGUAUUAUGUUUAUGUUUCGUGUCAUAUCGGAGGUAUGUGUUUAAAGUUUUUCUUUGUGCUGCAAGAACUUACAAGAAUUUUUUAUUUACUUUUAACACUUAGAAAUUUGUAAUUA